CCUGUUUAACAAAAACAUGUCUUUUUGAGUUAUUUUAAAAGUCUGACCUGCCCACUGAAUUUUUUUAAAUGGCCGCAGUAUUUUAACUGUGCAAAGGUAGCAUAAUCAUUAGUCUUUUAAUUGAAGGCUGGUAUGAACGGUUGGACGAAGUAUAAGCUGUUUCAUGUAAAUUUAUAAUAGAAUUUUAUAUUUUAGUUAAAAAGCUAAGAUGUAAUUAAAAGACGAGAAGACCCUAUAAAUCUUUAUAUUUUAUGUUAUUUAAGUUUUAUGGAUUUUUUUUAUUUUUUUAAUUUAAAAUAUUUUGUUGGGGUGAUAUUAAAAUUUAAUUAACUUUUAAUUAUUUAAAAUCAUUAAUUUAUGAAUUAUUGAUCCGUUAAUAGUGAUUAUAAGAUUAAGUUACUUUAGGGAUAACAGCGUAAUUUUUUUGGAGAGUUCUUAUCGAUAAAAARGUUUGCGACCUCGAUGUUGGAUUAAGAUAUAUUUUAGGUGUAGCCGCUUAAA
rnacentral:rRNA from 1 species